ACCCACGCUGUGUGGAUAAGUGGGGAUGGGUUCCAUUGAAGUUGCUUUCCCAUGGAAAAAACGUAUUCCAGCGAAUACGCCUUUGGCGUCGCAGCCCUCCCGCAAGAUCGAGCGAUUGGGCUUAGCCCAAUAGCACCAGGCGGCUAUACCGCGCCCAAGGCGCGCUUCUACUCAGCCCAUCAGAGUAAUAUUUGUUUUCUUUUUCUAUUCCACCAGAUCUCAAAUAAUUCCAGAGUGAUCAUUUCACAUAUAAAUUUGAUGAUUCAAAUUUCUUCAUACUCCUAAAAUCAUGCUCUAUUAAUCCAGCUAGGGUGAUUAUUUUGUCCUAAGCUUUAUCACUGUUGGAUCUAUUAAUUAGCCCAUUUCUUCACUUAUCCCAGCUUAGAAAUUCCCUAGGAAAAAAUCAUAUUGACUCCAAAUAAUUUGAUUUUUUCCUAAUAUUCCUUAUUUUUCAUCUUGUUUAUUUUAGGAUUUAUUUCAAAAAUUUCCAAACAACUUUUUAGCACUGUUUUGGCUUUAUGUGGUAAUUGCAACAUUUUGAAAAUAGGAAAAUGGAGGGAAGAGAAAAAUUUCAAAGUCUUGGAGUGCAUCCAAUGUUUCUGCAUGCUCAAGGAAAGCAUCUUGAACACUUGAUAUGGUGAAUGCAUAAUUGGUUAUUUGCAAGUAUAAUUGAAUUAUGAAUAUGUUGAAUUCAUAUAAAAUUGGAAUGUCACUAGUCAUAUGAUACGUCUCCAAUGUAUCUAUAAAUUUUUAUUGUUCCAUGCUAUUAUAUUAUCUGUUUUGGAUGUUUUAUAUGCAUUAAUAUGCUAUUUUAUAUUAUUUUUGGGACUAACAUAUUAACCUAGUGCCCAGUGUUAGUUUUUGAUUUUUUUUCCUUAUUUUGGACUUUUAUAGAAAAUCAAUAACAAAUGGAGUCCAAAUGGAAUAAAACUUUAUGAUGAUUUUUUCUUGGACUAGAAGAAACCCAGGAAGCUUUGGGAGGAGGCCAGAAGACCAACGAGGAGGCCACAAGCCCUAGGGCCGCGCCCCGGGGGUGCGCCUAGGCUUGUGGGCCCCUCGGAUACCUUCCAUCCCUACUUCCACCACUAUAACUUCUCAGAUAUUCCCCUUACGUUAGAGGGCACACCAAAAAUACUUUUUAGCCGCCGCAAGUUUCUGUUCUCGUGAGAUCCCAUCUUGGGGCCUUUUCCGGCACUCCGCCGGAGGGGGAUUCAAUCAUGGAGUGCCUCUACAUCAACCUUGCUGCCCUUCCGAUGAAGCGUGAGUAGUUUACCACGGACCUAAGGGUUCAUAGCUAGUAGCUAGAUGGCUUCUUCUCUCUCUUUGAUCUUCAAUACAUUGUUCUCCUUGAUGUUCUUGGAGAUCUAUUCGAUGUAAUCAUCAGUUGCGGUGCGUUUGUUGAGAUUAGAUGAAUUGUGGAUUUAUGAUCAGAUUAUCUAUGAAUAUUAUUUGAGUCUUCUCUGAACUCUUUUGUGCAUGAUUGAGAUAGCUUAGUAUUUCUCUCCGAUCUAUCCGUUUGGUUUGGCAUACUAGAUUGGUUUUUCUUGCAAUGGGAGAGGUGCUUUGUGAUGGGUUCAAUCUUGUGGUGUCCUCACCCAGUGGCAGCAGGGCUAGCGAGGCAUGUAUUGUAUUGUUGCCAUUAAGGAUAAAAAGAUGGGGUUUAUAUCAUAUUGCUUGAGUUUAUCCCUCUACAUCAUGUCAUCUUGCUUAAGGCGUUACUCUGUUUUUAUGAACUUAAUACUCUAGAUGCAGGCAGGAGUCGGUCGAUGUGUGGAGUAAUAGUAGAUGCAAAAUUGUCUCAGUCUACUUGUCAUAGACGUGAUGCCAAUAUUCAUGAUCAUUGCCUUAGAUAUUGUCAUAACUUUGCGCUUUUCUAUCAAUUGCUCAACAGUAAUUUCUUUCACCAUAUGCUUCAUUCGAGAGAGAAGCCUCUAGUGAAACCUAUGGCCCCGGGUAUAUUUUCCAUCAUAUAUUUUUAGAUCUAUAAAACCAAAAACCAAAAAAUACCUUGCUACAAUUUACCUAUAUUUACUUUAUUUUGCCUUUUACUUAUCUUUCAUAUCCAUCUCUAUUAGACCUCACUCUUGCAAGUGACCGUAAAGGGAUUGACAACCCCUUUUUCGCGUUGAGUGCAAUUGUUUGUUAGUUUGUGCAGGUGCAUAUAUUUUGGACUUGCUUGUGCCUCCUACUGGAUUAGUACCUUCAUUCUUAACUGAGGGAAAUACUUAUCUCUACUUUGCUGCAUCACCCUUUCCUCUUCAAGGGAAAAAUCAACGCAAGCUGAAGAAGUGGUAGGAAGAAUUUCUGGCGCCGUUGCCAGGGAGGUUCUACAUCAAGCCUACCAAGUACCUAUCAUAAACUCUCAUCCCUUACAUUUACAUUAUUUUCCAUUUUCCUCUUGUUUUCCUCUUCCCCACUUCUAAAACGUUUUCAGAAAAAACACAAAAAUAUUUGCCUUUUUAUUUGCCUUCUUUUCAUUUGCCUUUAUGUCUUACUUGGUUUGUUUGCUUGUUCAUUUGGUAUAAUUGUGUGUUUAUUGAAAAUCAGAAAGCAAAAAUUUAUGGAUCCUCAUCCACUUGCUAAUCUUUUUAAAAGAUCCAAUUAUGAUGAACUAAUUUCUAGUGAGUUGAGUGCACUAGAUUAUCUUUAUGAAGUUUUGCUUGAAAUUCGUGAAUCUAAAAAUUGUGAUGAAGUCUUAAAAGAAGAAAUUUAUGAAGUGAUUCACGAUAGCUCCUUGAAAGAAAAGCAUGAUUGCAAUGAUGUUAUUAUAAAUUCUAUUAAUGUCAAUUGUGUUAAUAAUAUGCAAAACCCCAAGCUUGGGGAUACUAGUUUUGCUAUGUCCACUACUUAUUGCAAUGAUCAUGAUUGGGGGUGAUAAUGCUUCUUAUGAUCUUGAAAAUUUGUUUAAGCCUCAUGAUGAAUAUGAUAUUGAUAAUAAUAUUUGCAAUAAUAUUGAAAGUGAGUUUGGAAGAGUGUCAACUUUAAGAAAUAAUGAUCCCACUACUUUGGAGAUUGAUCAAUCUUAUGAAUAUUUUGAUAAAAGUGGGCUUGGAGAAGUGAUACGUCCAUUUUGCAUCAUGCUUUUAUAUCGCUAUUUAUUGCAUUAUGGGCUGUUAUUACACGUUAUGUCACAAUACUUAUGGCUAUUAUCUCUUAUUUUACAAGGUUUAUCAUGAAGAGGGAGAAUGCCGGCAGCUGGAAUUCUGGCUGGAAAAGGAGCAAAUAUUGGAAACCUAUUCUGCACAGCUCCAAAAGUCCUGAAACUCCAUGAAAGUCAUUUUUGGAAUCAAUAAGAAUUAUUGAGCAAAGAAAGUACCAGAGGGGGCCCACACCCUGGCCACGAGGGUGCCCCCCUACUGGGCGCGCCCCCUGUUGGCCCUCCGGUGCCCAUCUUCUGCUAUAUGAAGCCUCUUACCCUGGAAAAAAUCAGAAGCAAGCUUACGGGACGAAACUCCGCUGCCACGAGCUGGAACCUUGGCGGAACCAAUCUAGGGCUCCGGCGGAGCUGUUCUGCCGGGGAAACUUCCCUCCGGGAGGGGGAAAUCAUCACGAUCAUCAUCACCAACGAUCCUCUCAUCGGAAGGGGGUCAAUCUCCAUCAACAUCUUCACCGGCACCAUCUCCUCUCAAAACCCUAUUUCAUCUCUUGUAUCCAAUCUUGUAUCAAAACCACAAAUUGGUACCUGUGGGUUGCUAGUAGUGUUGAUUACUCCUUGUAGUUGAUGCUAAUUGGUUUACUUGGUGGAAGAUCAUAUGUUCAGAUCCUUAAUGCAUAUUAAUACUCCUCUGAUCAUGAACAUGAAUAUGCUUUGUGAGUAGUUACAUUUGUUCCUGAGGACAUGGGUGAAGUCUUGCUAUUAGUAGUCAUGUGAAUUUGGUAUUAGUCGAUAUUUUGAUGAGAUGUAUGUUGUCUCUCCUCUAGUGGUGUUAUGUGAACGUCGACUACAUGACACUUCACCAUUAUUUGGGCCUAGAGGAAGGCAUUGGGAAGUAAUAAGUAAAUGAUGGGUUGGUAGAGUGAUAGAAGCUUAAACCCUAGUUUAUGCGUUGCUUCGUAAGGGGCUGAUUUGGAUCCACUAGUUUCAUGUUAUGGUUAGGUUUAACUUAAUACUUCUUUUGUAGUUGCAGAUGCUUGCAAUAGGGGUUAAUCAUAAGUGGGAUGCUUGUCUAAGAAAGGGCAGUACCCAAGCACCGGUCCACCCACAUAUCAAAUUAUCAAAGUACCGAACGCGAAUCAUAUGAGCUGAUGAAAACUAGCUUGACGAUAAUUCCCAUGUGUUCUCGGGAGCGGCUUUUCUCAUUAUAAGAAAUUGUACAGGCUUGUCCUUUGUUACAAAAAGGAUUGGGCCACCUUGUUGCACUUUAUUUAAUUUCAUUGCUUGUUACCCGUUACAAAUUAUCUUAUCACAAAACUAUCUGUUACCUACAAUUUCAGUGCUUGCAGAGAAUACCUUACUGAAAACCGCUUGUCAUUUCCUUCUGCUCCUUGUUGGGUUCGACACUCUUACUUAUCAAAAGGACUACAAUAGAUCCCCUAUACUUGUGGGUCAUCAAGACUCUUUUCUGGCGCCGUUGCCUGGGAGUGAAGCGCCUUUGGUGAGUGGAACUUGGUAAGGAAACAUUUAUAUAGUGUGCUGAAAUUUUCUGUCACUUGUUACUACGGAAACUAAUCCUUUGAGGGGCUUGUUCGGGGUAUCUUCACCUCGACCAGUAGAGCAAAGAGUUGCUCCUCAACCUACUGAACCUACUGAAAAUUUUUACUUUGAGAUUCCUUCGGGUAUGAUAGAGAAACUGCUAGCUAAUCCCUUUGCGGGAGAUGGAACAUUGCAUCCCGAUUUACACCUUAUCUUUCUGGAUGAAGUUUGUGGAUUAUUUAAGCUUGCAGGUAUACCCAAUGAUGUUGUCAAGAGGAAGGUCUUCCCUUUAUCUUUGAAGGGAGACACAUUGACAUGGUAUAGGCUAUGUGAUGAUACGGGAUCUUGGAACUAUAAACGAUUGAAGUUGGAAUUUUACCAGAAGUUCUAUCCUAUGCAUCUUGUUCAUCGUGAUCGUAAUUACAUAUAUAAUUUCUGGCCUCGCAAAGAAGAAAGCAUCGCUCAAGCUUGGGGGAGGCUUAAGUCAAUGCUAUAUUCAUGCCCCAAUCAUGAGCUCUCAAGAGAAAUGAUUAUUCAAAAAAUUUAUGCUCGGCUUUCUCUCAAUGAUCGCACCAUGCUCGAUACUUCCUGUGCUAGUUCUUAUAUGCUGAAGACUACUGAAUUCAAGUGGGAUUUAUUGGAAAGAAUUAAACGCAACUCUGAAGAUUGGGGUUCUGACGAUUGUAAGGAGUCAGGUAUGACACCCAAGUUUGAUUGUGUUAAAUCUUUUAUGGAAACCGAUGCUUUUCGUGGAUUUAGCGCUAAAUAUGGACUUGACUCUGAGAUAGUAGCUUCUUUUUGUGAAUCUUUUGCUACUCAUGUUGAUCUCCCUAAGGAGAAGUGGUUUAAAUAUAAUCCUCCCAUUGAAGUAAAAGUAGUUGCACCUAUUAUAGUUGAAGAAAAGACUAUCACUUAUAAUGAUCCUAUUGUUCCUACUACUUAUGUUGAGAAACCACCUUUUUCUGUUAGAAUAAAGGAUCAUGCUAAAGCUUCAAUUGUUGUUCGUAAGAGUAAUACUAGAACAUAUACACCUCCUGAGCAAAUUAAAGUUGAACCUAGUAUUGCUAUGGUUAAAGAUCUCUUGUAUCAUAAUUUAGAUGGGCAUGUUAUUUAUUUCUGUGAUGAAGCUACUAAUAUUGCUAGACCAGAUGCUAAGAUACAUAGACCUGUUGUAGGCAUGCUUGUUAUUUCUGUUAAAAUAGGAGAUCAUUAUUAUCAUGGCUUAUGUGAUAUGGGUGCUAGUGCUAGUGCAAUACCUCAUUCCUUAUAUGAAGAAAUUAUGCAUGAUAUCGCACCCACUGAAAUAGAAGGUAUUGAUGUUACUAUUAAGCUUGCCAAUAGAGAUACUAUUUCACCAGUUGGGAUUGUUAGAGAUGUUGAAGUCUUGUGUGGGAAAGUUAAAUAUCCUGCUGAUUUUCUUGCUCUUGGUUCCCCACAAGAUGAAUUUUGUCCCAUUAUAUUUGGUAGACCCUUCUUGAAUACUGUUAAUGCUAAGAUUGAUUGCAAAAAGGAUGUUGUUACGAUUGGCUUAGGGGACAUGUCUCAUGAGUUUAACUUUGCUAAAUUUUAUAGACAACCCCAUGAUAAAGAAUUGCUUAGUAAGGAUGAAAUUAUUGGUAUUGCUUCUAUUAGCGUGCCUCCUACUGAUCCGUUAGAACAAUAUUUGCUAGACCAUGAAAAUGAUAUGUUUAUGAAUGAAAGAAGGGAAAUAGAUGAAGUAUUCCUUCAACAGGGUCCUAUUCUGAAACACAACUUGCCUGUUGAAAUCCUAGGGGAUCCCCCUCCACCCAAGGGUGAUCCCAUAUUUGAGCUCAGACCUUUACCUGUUAAUCUUAAAUAUGCUUAUGUUGAUGAAAAGAAGAUAUAUCCUAUUAUUAUUAGUGCUGCUAUUGGAUAUACUCUGGAUGAUCUUAAGGGCAUUAGUCCCACUCUAUGCCAACACAAAAUUAAAUUGGACGAAGGCUCCAAACCAGUUAUAGAUCCUCAACGACGAUUAAAUCCUAAGAUGAAAGAAGUGGUAAGAAAUGAGAUACUAAAGCUCCUUGAGGCAGGUAUAAUUUAUCCCGUUGCUGAUAGUGAUUGGGUAAGUCCUGUCCAUUGCGUCCCUAAGAAGGGAGGUAUUACUGUUGUUCCUAAUGAUAAACAUGAAUUGAUUCCGCAAAGAAUAAUUACAGAUUAUAGGAUGGUAAUUGAUUUCCGUAAAUUAAAUAAAGCUACUAAGAAAGAUCAUUACCCUUUACCUUUUAUUGAUCAAAUGCUAGAAAGACUAUCAAAACAUACACAUUUUUGCUUUCUAGAUGAUUAUUCUGGCUUCUCUCAAAUACCUGUGUCAGCGGAGGAUCAAUCAAAAACUACUUUUACUUGCCCUUUCGGUACUUUUGCUUAUAGACGUAUGCCUUUUGGUUUAUGUAAUGCACCUGCUACCUUUCAAAGAUGCAUGAUGGCUAUAUUCUCUGACUUUUGUGAAAAGAUUUGUGAGGUAUUCAUGGAUGAUUUCUCCGUUUAUGGAUCCUCUUUUGAUGAUUGCUUGAGCAACCUUGAUCGAGUCUUACAGAGAUGUGAAGACACUAGUCUCGUCUUGAAUUGGGAAAAGUGCCACUUUAUGGUUAAUGAAGGCAUUGUCUUGGGGCAUAAAAUUUAUGAAAGAGAUAUUGAAGUUGAUAAAGCUAAAGUUGAUGCUAUUCAAAAGAUGCCAUGUCCCAAGGAUAUUAAAGGUAUAAUAAGUUUCCCUGGUCAUGCCGACUUUUAUAGGAGGUUCAUUAAGGACUUCUCUAAAAUCUCUAGGCCCCUGACUAAUUUAUUGCAAAAAGAUAUUCCUUUUGUCUUUGAUGAUGAUUGUGUAGAAGCAUUUGAAAUACUUAAGAAAGCUUUGAUCACUGCACCUAUUGUUCAGCCACCUGAUUGGAAUUUACCCUUUAAAAUUAUGUGUGAUGCUAGUGAUUAUGCUGUAGGUGUUGUUCUAGGGCAAAGAGUUGAUAAGAAAUUAAAUGUUAUCCAGUAUGCUAGUAAAACUCUUGAUACUGCCCAGAGAAAUUAUGCUACUACUAAAAAAGAAUUCUUAGCAGUUGUAUUUGCUUGUGAUAAGUUUAGACCUUAUAUUGUUGAUUCUAAAGUUACUAUUCACACUGAUCAUGCUGCUAUUAAAUAUCUUAUGGAAAAGAAAGAUGCUAAGCCUAGACUUAUUAGAUGGGUUCUCUUACUCCAAGAAUUUGAUUUGCAUAUUAUUGAUAGAAAGGGAGCUGAGAACCCCGUUGCAGACAACUUGUCUAGGUUAGUGAUAGAUGCAAAGGUGUCCCGUCUUUCGAUGAGAUGAUGGAUAUCGCUUUGGUGGCAGUCAACUUUGACGAUCCGACUACGAACGUGCGAGGACGUCGCGCCUUAGCAAUCGCUAAACCAACUCCGAGAGGUUAUUGACCACGCCGGAGCACGAUCAACCUGACCACGAGGGUCUGUUUCCUGCGAGCAAACGAAGAACAAGCAAGAAAUUGAGAUUGCAAUCUGGAUAUUGCGAAUAUAAGAUGAAAGCUUUAUUGAUCAAGGUGGGGUUCUGUGACGCCUUUGUCUGUAUCAAGUGGUAUCAGUUUUCAGGUUGCUCGGUGAGAAUUUCCAGUUUUCCUAGAUUAGAUUUAUUUUCUUACCUAUUGUCCAAGAAAAAGCCACAAAAAAGAGUUAGAUCUAUUCAUCCUUGGUCCAAGCCAGUCUGAGCCUUUGCAAUUUUCUUUUCAUUGCUUGCAUAGUUGAAUUAUCGGUUGCAUCGUCGUGUCGAGUUGCUGGUCUUAGUGUCUAGUUCGUUUAGAGUUUCGAGUUCUGUUCACAUUAGUCAUGCCACCGCUGCAUCAUUAUCUCUUCCGCUGUCCACCACCCAUCCAUCAAUUUCCACCACGUGCUACCCACCAUUCAUUGUCAUAAUAAUAGUUGAGAUCGUUCACAUCUUCACUUGAUCCAAUCUGCAUCUUAUCUAGUUUGUUUUGGAAAGAGGGAGAAAAAAAGAGAGAAAAAAAGGAGAAAAAAAAGGAGAAAAAAAAGUCAGAGAAAAAAAAGGAGAGAAAGAAAAAAAAUGUGAGGAAAAAAAGAGAGAAGAAAAAGAACAAAAAAAUCGGCACAAACUUUUUCAGAGGAAUGUUGGAGACAAAGUUGUUGAUAUAUCCUGCUUGGCUGUUGUUUCACCUCAUUAUCUUUACUGCCGUUGUGAUCUUCACUUAUAUCUUGCUGUCCAGAGCUACUUAGUAUCCUUCAUUGAUGCUAGUUGUGCUACGACGUGACCUCAUUAGUGUUCUAGGCUCGCGUCUCUAGUUCGGUCUAGCCUAGGACCAGCACAGUACCGUCGUUGAGCGUUUAUUCAACAUCGCAUCUCUGAAUUGAUUAUUGCUAAUCUUUUGCUACCAUAUAUAGCCAACCCAGCUCUACAUAUUUCUACACCGUGUAUACGUACGUUCCCCUGGCAAUCGCUUUACACAAUCUUCAGAGUUAUUUGACACCGCUGGUUGCCUGUCACCACCUGCUGCUUGGUAAGAACUUGUAAGAUAUUGAUAUUUGCUUUACUGUGAGCGCUUUACCACCACACCCUAGUAGUUCAUAGGAACAUUAUUCUUGAAUUUUGUUUCUUGUUUCUACUAAUCAUGACAGGUUCCGAAGAUAGAAGUUCUUGGACGACGGACACAUCUUUACCAUCACGAGAGUUGGGACAACACACACAAGCACAUGGUCAGGUUAUCUUUUUACCGUCAUUUGAGGGUAGAUUUAAUCCUACUACUUAUCUAGCUUGGGAGCUUGAAGUAGAACAAGUUUUUAGUCACCAUGACUUUUCUGAACUUGAGCGAGUGCAAGCAGCCACUAGAGCAUUUACUGAUUUUGCUUCUGUUUGGUGGAGUGUACAUUGUAAGAAAAACAUUGAUAACCAACCCACAACUUGGAAAGUUUUGAAAGCUGUAAUGAGACAACAAUUUUUCCCUCCUUAUUAUCGUCGUGAAUUGCUUUGCAAAUUUGAACAAUUUAAACAAGGCAACAACACUGUUCAUGCUUACUACCAAGAGUUCAAAUCUUACAUGCAUCAUUGUGACAUAGAAGAAUCUGAGAAUGAUACAAUGAAUACCACUUGAUAGAGGCGAGGGUCCCGAUCUUUCGAUGAGAUGAUAACUAUCGAUUUGGUGGAGACGACUUUGAUGAUCCGACUACAAACGUGCACAACAUUGCGCCUUAGCAAUCGCUAAACCAAUCUCCUGAGGUUACUGACAAUGCUGGAAGCACGGUCAGCCUGACCACGAAGGUCUAUUCCUGCAAGCAAUCGAAGAACGAGCAAGAAUAUGAUAAAGCAAUAUGAAUAUUGCAAAUAUAUAUAUGAGGUAUUGAUAAUGGUGGGGAUCAGGAAGCGGUCUUUGUCUGGUCGUUGGACACAAACGAAGUACACGAAGUUGCAAUGGCUAACUUUUAACUAAACAAAUCCCAAGGAAAAAGCUACUAGAUGGAUCUACUUAUAUAGGAGCAAGGGGUGGCGGCUAAGGAGGUGGGAGGACGUCCCAAGGCAGCCUAAAACUAACCCUAGGUCGUACAAGGCUCAUGGACCCAAGUGGAGGUGAUGCAACACCUUUGGACUUGUAGUUUGACUCGGAUUCUGCUGCAACGUCAGAUUGUUUCGUCCGUAACUCAACGCUCCGGACGAAUUUGAAGGUGAAUCCAAUUGGGUUGGAAAGAGCACGAAAUCUAGUUUUCAACAAAAAAAGAAUCACCCAAUUCGGAGUCCGUAUGAAAAAGUUGUUGGCGUUUUGAGUCAGGUAUGUCUGUGCAGUCCGAAUCUGAAUCCAGAACGUGAGAGACUUGGACUCUAUCUUCUCUUGGCCCAAAAGUGACGUGAGAGGACUUUUUGAACACAACCUAAACUUCUCCUUUUCCCUUGUCUUCGUAUGUGGAUUGUACAAAUGUCCCAUACACCUGCAAUUAGACAAAACACAAAAGUGUGUGAAGUAUUUUUGUUCUGGAUAACAUAAAUAGAUUAAUGAAUAGUUUGCAUUAGAAAUCACCUGACAAAUAUGCAUGUAUGCAAUAUUUUUGGUCGUAUACAAGGUAGUCAUGUCCUCAUCAGUUAGAGAAUGUUCUUGAUGACCCACUACCUAUUGAUGAUAGCUUUCCUGAUGAACAAUUAGCGGUCAUUAAUGCUUCUCAUACUGCUCCAUGGUAUGCUUAUUAUGCUAAUUACAUUGUUGCUAAAUUUAUACCACCUAGUUUCACAUACCAGCAAAAGAAAAAGUUCUUUUAUGAUUUAAAACAUUACUUCUGGGAUGACCCACACCUUUAUAAAGGAGUAGAUGGUGUUAUUAGACGUUGUGUACCUGAGCAUGAGCAGGAACAGAUCCUACGCAAGUAUCACUCCGAACCAUAUGGAGGACAUCACGCUGGAGAUAGAACUGCACAUAAGGUAUUGCAAUCCGACUUUUAUUGGCCUACUCUCUUCAAAGAUGCUCGUAAGUUUUUCUUGUCUUGUGAUGAAUAUCAAAGAAUUGGUAAUAUUAGUAGACGCCAAGAAAUGCCUAUGAAUUAUUCUCUUGUUAUUGAACCAUUUGAUGUUUGGGGCUUUGAUUAUAUGAGACCUUUUCCUGCCUCUAACGGAUAUACACAUUUUUUUAGUUGUUGUUGAUUACGUUACUAAGUGGGUAGAAGCUAUUCUAACUAGUAGUGCUGAUCAUAACACCUCUAUUAAGAUGCUUAAGGAAGUUAUUUUUCCGAGGUUUGGAGUCCCUAGAUAUCUCAUGACUGAUGGUGGUUCACAUUUUAUUCAUGGUGACUUUCGUAAAAUGCUUGCUAAGUAUGAUGUUAAUCAUAGAAUUGCAUCUCCUAAUCACCCACAGUCUAGCGGUCAAGUAGAGUUGAGUAAUAGAGAGCUCAAAUUAAUUUUGCAAAAGACUGUCAAUAGAUCUAGAAAGAAUUGGUCCAAGAAACUUGAUGAUGCAUUAUGGGCCUAUAGAACUGCAUAUAAAAAUCCUAUGGGUAUGUCUCCGUAUAAGAUGGUUUAUGGAAAAGCAUGUCACUUACCUCUCGAACUUGAACAUAAAGCAUAUUGGGCUAUUAAAGAGCUCAACUAUGAUUUCAAACUUGCCGGUGAGAAGAGGUUAUUUGACAUCAGCUCACUUGAUGAAUGGAGAACCCAAGCCUAUGAGAAUGCCAAGCUGUUCAAAGAAAAAGUUAAAAGAUGGCAUGACAAAAGAAUACAAAAACAUGAGUUUAACGUAGGUGAGUAUGUAUUGCUAUUCAACUCUCGUUUAAGAUUUUUUGCAGGAAAACUUCUCUCUAAGUGGGAAGGUCCUUACGUUAUCGAGGAAGUCUAUCGUUCCUGUGACGCCCCCGAUUCAAUCAUACACUAAUCAUGCACGCAAAUGUGUACGAUCAAGAUCAGGGACUCACGGGAAGAUAUCACAACACAACUCUAAAACAUAAAUAAGUCAUACAAGCAUCAUAAUACAAGCCAGGGGCCUCGAGGGCUCGAAUACAAGUGCUCGAUCAUAGAUGAGUCAGCGGAAGCAACAAUAUCUGAGUACAGACAUAAGUUAAACAAGUUUGCCUUAAGAAGGCUAGCACAAACUGGGAUACAGAUCGAAAGAGGCGCAGGCCUCCUGCCUGGGAUCCUCCUAACUACUCCUGGUCAUCGUCAGCGGGCUGCACGUAGUAGUAGGCACCUCCAGAGUAGUAGUCGUCGUCGACGGUGGCGUCUGGAUCCUGGGCUCCAACGUCUGGUUGCGACAUCCGAGAAGAAGAGGAAAACGAGGGAAAAGAGGGAGCAAAGCAACCGUGAGUACUCAUCCAAAGUACUCGCAAGCAAGGAGAUACACUACAUAUGCAUGGGUAUAUGUGUAAGGAGGCAAUAUGAGUGGACUGAACUGCAGAAUGCCAGAAUAAGAGGGGGAUAGCUAGUCCUAUCGAAGACUACGCUUCUAGCAGCCUCCGUCUUGCAGCAUGUAGAAGAGAGUAGACUGAAGUCCUCCAAGUAGCAUCGCAUAGCAUAAUCCUACCCGGCGAUCCUUCCCUCAUCGCCCUGUGGAAAAGCGAUCACCGGGUUGUAUCUGGCACUUGGAAGGGUGUGUUUUAUUAAGUGUCCGGUUCUAGUUGUCAUAAGGUCAAGGUACAACUCCAAGUCGUCCUGUUACCGAAGAUCACGGCUAUUUGAAUAGAUUAACUUCCCUGCAGGGGUGCACCACAUAACCCAACACGCUCGAUCCCAUUUGGCCGGACACACUUUCCUGGGUCAUGCCCGGCCUCGGAAGAUCAACACGUCGCAGCCCCACCUAGGCACAACAGAGAGGUCAGCCCGCCGGUCUAAAUCCUAUGCGCGCAGGGGUCUGGGCCCAUCGCCCAUUGCGCACUUGCACGUUGCGAGGGCGGCCGGAAGCAGACCUAGCAACCUCCAUUACAAAGGAAGUCACGUUACGCGGUCCAAUCCGGCGCGCGCCGCUCCGUCGCUGACGUCAAGAAGGCUUCGGCUGAUACCACGACGUCGAGUGCUCAUAACUGUUCCCGCGUAGUUGGUUAGUGCGUAUAGGCCAGUGGCCAGACUCAGAUCAAAUACCAAGAUCUCGUUAAGCGUGUUAUUAUGAAAUAACCGCGGACGCCGACCAGGGCCAGGCCCACCUGUCUCGCAGGUGGUCUCAACCUGCCUUGUUGCUCCGCCACAAAGAUCCACAUAGAGGGCCGUCGGGACAAAGGUCCUUUCAGCCCCCAAUCCGUGAAUCACUCGCGGGUACUCCUCGAGCCAACCCGACUUUGGUCACCAUCUAUAGUAUGUAUAUAUGUAUAGUAUAAACCCGUGAUCACCUCCCGAGUGAUCACGGCCCAAUAGUAUAGCAAGGCAGACUGACAAGAAUAUAGGGCCAAUGAUGAUAAACUAGCAUCCUAUACUAAGCAUUUAGGAUUGCGGGUAAGGUAUCAAUGACUGUAGCAACAAUGACAGGCUAUGCAUCAGAAUAAGAUUAACGGAAAGCAGUAACAUGCUACACUACUCUAAUGCAAGCAGUAUAGAGAAGAAUAGGCGAUAUCUGGUGAUCAAGGGGGGGCUUGCCUGGUUGCUCUGGCAAGUAGGAGGGGUCGUCAACUCCGUAGUCGAACUGGGGAGCAGCGGCGUCUGCCUCGGGGUCUAGCGAGAGAAGAGGGGGAAGAAACAAUAAAUACAAUGCAAACAAAUGCAUGACGAUGCAUGACAAGACAAGGCGUGUUGCUAGGCGUGCCCCAACGUGGUAGUAGGUGGUACCGGCGAAGGGGAAAACAUCCGGGAAAGUAUCCCCGGUGUUUCGCGUUUUCGGUCAGAGGAAUCGGAGGGGGAAAGUUGCAGGUUCACUAUGCUAGGGACGCGUGACGGAUGAACGGGCUGCAUAUCUGGAUUUGUCUCGUCGUUCUAAGCAACUUUCGUGUACAAAGUUUCCAUCCGAGCUACAGAUUAUUUUAUAUUAAUUUUUAAAGUUUUAAAUCAUUUUCUAGAAUUUCUAGAUAUUUUGAAAAAGAAAUUACCUAAACUGCUAUGGAUACACAGAGAGGUGUACCCAAUAGUGUGCAAGAGGCUGACAGGUGGGGUCCAGUUGACUGCCCAGACAGCAGUCAACUAAGACUGUUGACUAGUCAAAGGGACCAGGGGACCCGCAUGUCAUUGACUAGGCUAUCCCAGUCAGCAGUUUGACUGGUCAAUGGGUUGACUGGGGCCACUUGUCAGUGACUAGACUCAGAUAGACUUUAGUUAAGUUACAUUAAUUAGCAGUGGGGGCCACUAGUCAUAGGGCCAUCUAACUAAUGAAACUAAUAAUAAUAAAAAGGUUAAUCCCCAAUUAGCCGGCCCCAAUCUUGCAGUGGCCAGAGGCUACGACUGGGAGCACGCACAACCGCACGCACAGGUGCGCUGGCGGUCGGUGCCCAGCACACAGGGCGGAGGGGGAGUAGGGCGCGGCCCUGGCCAGCAGGCGUGGUCGACCGCGGGCAAUGUGGGCGCUGGCCCGCGCGAGGGCAGCUGGGUUGCAACCAGCAGCGGCGCGCGACGUCAGCCGCAGGCAGUAGCAGCAGCAGGAAGUGGAAGGCGGGGGCGGGCAUGGCGCCCGCAGGGCGGCUACGGCGGCAGGCGCGGGGCUGGGGCGCACGGCCAUGGCCGUAAUGGGGACCGGGGUUCCGCGAAUGCAGGGCUGGGCUCGGUCAGGGGGUCGCGAGCACGAAGCGUCGGACGUUGCGACGGCAAGCAUGGGUUUGUUCGGGCGCGGCACUAUAGCACAAGAUCGAGCAAACCUAGAGGCUAGUCAGCAUCUACAUGGGCACGGGAGCACUCCAGUGUGCCUAGCUGGCCCCGGGACGGCCGAUAGCCACGGCGGGGAGCACCACAGCGGCGACGCGUUCUGGCCAGAGCAAAACAAAGACGACGACGGGACUAUGGCUAUGGAUCGAAAGCGUUUAGGAAGGGGAAACAUAGCGCAGCUCACCCCGAGUCGGAAGAGGAGCUCGAGGAGGUCGGGGAUGCAGUGGAGGUGACGAAUUCAUCGAUGGAGCCGCGGUGGCCGGAGGUAGAAGACGAUGUCGAUGUACAAGAUGAAGAUGGUGGCGAUGGCGAGUGUACGGGCCUUCCCCGCUCGAUUCGGUCCUCGGGAUGGACGAAGUGGACCAUGGCGGUCCUUCUGGGCGUCUUCUCGCGGCGCGGGGAGCAUGGUGGUCACGGCCAUGGCAACGGCAACGGCGGUUUCAUGCGGGGAGAAGAGAGAGAGAGAGAGCGAGGGAAAGGGGGAGUGGAUGAGGAGGAGCGACAAGGCAAGUGGGAGGGGACGAGGGGAGCCCGAGGCGUCGGGGGAUCUUAUCCUCUCGCCCAUGACGCCGGCGAGGCGGUCGGGGGCAACCAUGGCCCUGUAGCGACCGCACCACGGGAACAGGAGGAGAAGGAGACCGGUGGGGGUAUGUGGGCUGGCUCGGGUGGGGGUGGGCCGAGGCCCGGAGGAGUCAGGGGAGUUUUCCUUUUAUUUUGCCUUUUUAUUUAAAUUGCAAAACUAAAAGAGUUUUGAUAGAAAAGAGACUUGUCAACUAAAGCGAGCACAUUUAUUCUAAGAGUCGCAAAAAGUUUAAGGCCGAAAGUAGUUGUCCAACUAUUUUUAGAAAUUUAAAAUGCCAAUUUUAAAUGCUGCUGGAUCACUAAAUAAUUUCCAGGGGCACUUUCGAAACCCAAAAGAGGUUGGUUCUAACAUGACAAUUAUCCAGGUAUUAUUUUCCACACUUUGAACAUUGUAAUUUUCAUGUUUGGCAAAUUGGAAUUUUUGACUUUAAAUUUUGAGUUUGAAUUUGAAUCAUGAUUUGGAUCAAGUGAGGAUUAACAACAGUAAUGUGAUGACAUGACACCAUUAGCAGGGAAUUACUAUAGCUUAAUUAUCCGGGCGUCACAAUUCUCCUCCACUACAAGAAAUCUCGUCCCGAGAUUUUAGGGGUGGAGUAAGGGGGAAAGACUCGAGAAGGACGGAGCUCAACACAAGAUAUGUACCUGGGGGCUAUCUCAGUGAACGUGGCGUAGAGGCAUCUCUCAAGUUGAAAUUUGAGAAAGACGUCGAGAGCAAGGCAAGGAGUUGUAAUAAGAAGCUUCAACUUGGUAGGCAAUUGUUCGUUGCUUGAAAUAGAGAGUGAAUGGGGUUCAGUGCAAUGGGAAUAAGUAUUGCAUCUGAUAACAAAAUAGAUCACUAUGAAUAUGGCUCGCGAAUUACAUAAGAAGCCAAGCACGAGGAAUAACUUAGAAAACAGGGAUGUAUAGAAGAGUCAGGUUUCGAUCCUAUGGAACUGUGGGUUAUGGGCCCACCAUGUGGGUUAAAAGUAGGAAGGGUGCUUACAUUUGCACGGUCAUGAUAACAAGGCUGGUCAGAGGUUAGCCUGUCAAUUAUGUUGGCAACAACUUUGGUACCAAGGGCGAGGGACGAAGAGAACGACUUUCCUGCUCGUAAUACGAGGCGGACCAAUAGGCAAAGUUCUCGUCCAUUGGUGGUUACCGGAAUGUCAUCAACAAUAGUAACAGGGUCUUACUGACAGAGUUGUACACCGAGGUGCUUACUUAAGCAGGGAUUUAUCUCUCUCAGACAAUUUAGAUGACAAGAAAGGAGAAACAAAACAAUGGAAAUGAAAAUGUGAUUAUUAUGAUAAUCAGGCCAAUGGAAAGGAAAGAUGUUUAUACCCAUGUGUAGAGUAUAACUUUCCCAAGGAAAGGCAGAGCAUGAUAGGGCUCCAAGUAUUAAACCGUUUAGACAAAGGGGCAAGGUAUUUAUGAGGUUUACCCAUACAACAGUGUUUGGAUAAUUGAUCAAGAACAGUUAGCAUUGCGCUCCCAAUGUUCUUGUUGAUGAUCGGAGUACCACACACAUGCUUCGGGAUAGUGUUGACAUGGUCAUCGGGCAAAGGUCAGACUUCAGGUACACAAAGGAUCCAUCGGAACAACUUAUAGAAUAAUUCUUACAAUUUCCUCAUGAAAGAAUGGAUAACCUUGCUGAAAAGGAAAACUAUAACAAUGGGUCCUCCGACCAGGUGUACUAGGCAUGACAUCAUCUUACCGGGUCAAAUAAAAGACCAAUAUUAUAACUCUUGGAAAUAUAUUCCAACCAUCAUAUCUGACCGAGAUUCAGAUCUGAUUGGUGUCAGGAUACCUCCGAGUCGGGAUGUCUCAGAAGAAAAGGUGAAACACAAAUUGUCGAGAUGACAUUGUAAGAUUCUCGGGAAUUGAACUAUGGAAGCGAGUUCGAAAACAAGAGUUCAUCACGAAAUGGAGGAGAGGUGAGGAGGUGGCUGAUUGACUCAGCGACAAUUCAUUGAGAUUUUCAAAAGAUGGAUUUCCACACUUAUGUGAACAAGGGGAUAACAUUUGUCGGAUCAAAUGAUAUAACGAUGUAUGCUAAAAAAACAUACACAAUAAAACAUUGGUUGAAAGGUGCACCUGAAAUAUGGGCUUAGGUAGUACGAUCAAUGUUAGAAUGGUGAUUUGAUAAUCAAUGGCCUAAGGAUGUAAUGUUGACCAUUAACUCCAAAGCAAUAGGGUUGAUAGAAGGGCGGAAUCCAAACAGCACCGUUCACCUGUUGGUAUCCCGGUUAGAAACAACACAAGAAAGAAUGGUGAUGGUGAGAAGUAUCACUAUACCAAGAAUUCUUAAGAGGUGGAGCAAUUCUCACAACAUCCUUGACAUAAAAGGUGGUAAUACUUCAAGGUAGAACGUAAUACAAGCUCAAUAGCAAGUUGCAUCCACAACCUGAACAAGUUUAUAAUGAAAGAAAGAGAUGUUGUCGAUGGUAGCUCAAAUUACCAAGGGACGAGGAUGGUACUUACCAUCAGGAAUUUGGUUGAUAUCCUGGAAGGAGUCAAAAUGUUGAUGAUGAUCACGACACAUUUGCCGAGAGAUUUCAUGAAGAUGUAAUCGAUCAGCGAUGGCAUCAAGUCAAGGGAAUGAUGAAGCGCAAGUUUAUUGGAACCACGGGUAUGACACAAACUCGAAACCAAGCUUGUUGUUCAAGGUGAAAUGAUAUGAUGAGGAAGAUCGACAUAAGCUUAGCUCAUCGUCGAAAAUUGUGCUCUGGGAAUAAGGACCAGGUAGCACAGUUUAAGCUUUAACAUGACGAUGAUGAUGUAGCCAAUCGGUUGGGAAUGACAUCAGCAAGUACAACUCGCAAGUAAUAAGGAUUACAAAGAGUAGUUGAACCGUAGAACGGACUCGAUUCAGUUAUCGGGGUUUCAAGUGAAAAACAACUCAAAACCCGGAGAAAAUUGGAAUCAUCGAGAAAUAAUAGUUGAUGAAGAACUCACCAGAAGUUAUGUAGUUCGUUGAUAUUCUCGAGAUACCAGAGUGUAAUACUCGACGGUAGAGCAGAGUCAAGGUUGGACUGGGGUAUUGACCCACAGAAGACAAAUGCUUAAACUUGCCCGAGAAAUGGGAUCAAAGGAGAACAAUAUGGUCGGAACCACGAUUGCAAAGGAUCAAUUCACCGAUACCAGAAGAUAUUAUAUCAAUGAAAUAGUUAUUAUUACAAGAAGCUUCCAUGAUAGGAUCUACAUUGUGUCCAUGGACAUGAACACAAAGUUCAAGGUCGACUCCCACUUCUCUAAUGCAUAACCUUUCACUCACUUCUCGCCUUCGACGAAGUUGUAGUGUUGAAAUUUUAUCUAGCAAAACACCAAAAGAGUAUGACUCGUGAUAGCUCUCGGGUUUACCCAGAUCUAGGAAGGCAUAGGUUCAACCCUUAGGGGUAUCUUGGGAAAAUAUACCACAACUUCGGAGUAAAUAACUCAAGCUCGGGAGCAGAGCGUGGUUGACAAAAGCAGGGGAUACAAUUUACCAAAGGCAUUAUGUAUCUGAGGAAAAGCUCACAAGGUUAAUGAAUACGAAGGACGGUGUCGGACAAAAUCCAACAAAGGAUCUGACGGUCCACAACAGAGCUGAUGUGAGCAUCGGCACACAAUCAGAGGAAGAAUCAAGGCAAGGGCCUUAGAUUAUAGAAACAACUGACUAACUCAAAGCUCAAAGGCAAAGAAUCAUAAUUUCCAAAUCAAGGGCUCAGAGGCAAAACUCUGAUUAAGGAUGAAUAAGUUGAAUAGACUUAGGGGUACAUUCGACGACAACUUGAUUGGUCGAGGACCAGCUCAUGUUCAAAAUGAUGUGUGAGCCGGAAGGAUGAAUUCUAUCUGCGACUGAGGAUUGCGAACAUCUGCAUCAUAUUGAAUCAACGGGAUCAAAAUGACGGUGCCUAAGGAUACUAACGAAUAUUGCCAGACAUAUGGAAAGCAUCCAUAAUGCAAGCAGACAAGUAUUGCAGAGCAAUAAGCUAAUAAAGAUUUUUGGAGGAUCAAAUAGUAUUUUGAGGACCAAUGUGAAACACAUGAACAAAUGGGAAUGAACAGAUACUCGAUAAGGGCGAGAAAUUAUCCGUAGGGGUAUUCAGGUGGCAAGAACUGCAAGGCAGUAAGCUCAAAGGAUUCUCGGAGCAAUGGAGAGCAGUUCGGGGCAUCUUGUAAUAUCAAGAUCCAUAGGAUUGAAUGUAAGAAUGGCACGUGUAUAUAGUUAUCCAAUAAGGAUAUACCAAUGGUAGGGGGUUCGUAAGGGCGGUGGGCAUAAGUGUCUCAGGAGAACAUCGUAGAGUAUCUUCGAAAUCUUCUGGUGCACUAAGCAAUCAUCUGGAGUGAGGGAUCUCCGGGGGGAAGUGGUUACGAGAACCUAGAGUCGGCGUUAGUAAAAUCUUUUAACCCGAGUAGAGGAGAGAUCAGAGUCCUAGAGUAAAGGUCGAGGAGUAAAAGAUCCUAAUACCACCCAAUGGCGACGUGGGCCCGUAAGGCACACAACCAAGUUAGUAAAAGUUUUGUAGUGAUUAGACUCGACUUCGGCCAAGGAGUGUGGAAGGGGGAUUCCUACAGGCAGUCGGCUCUGAUACCAACUUGUGACGCCCCCGAUUCAAUUGUACACUAAUCAUGCAUGCAAAUGUGUACGAUCAAGAUCAGGGACUCACGGGAAGAUAUCACAACACAACUCUAAAACAUAAAUAAGUCAUACAAGCAUCAUAAUACAAGCCAAGGGCCUCGAGGGCUCGAAUACAAGUGCUCGAUCAUAGACGAGUCAGCGGAAGCAACAAUAUCUGAGUACAGACAUAAGUUAAACAAGUUUGCCUUAAGAAGGCUAGCACAAACUGGGAUACAGAUCAAAAGAGGCGCAGGCCUCCUGCCUGGGAUCCUCCUAACUACUCCUGGUCGUCAUCGGCGGGCUGCACGUAGUAGUAGGCACCUCCAGAGUAGUAGUCGUCGUCGACGGUGGCGUCUGGAUCCUGGGCUCCAACAUCUGGUUGCGACAUCCGAGAAGAAGAGGAAAACGAGGGAAAAGAGGGAGCAAAGCAACCGUGAGUACUCAUCCAAAGUACUCGCAAGCAAGGAGCUACACUACAUAUGCAUGGGUAUAUGUGUAAGGAGGCAAUAUGAGUGGACUGAACUGCAGAAUGCCAGAAUAAGAGGGGGAUAGCUAGUCCUAUCGAAGAGUACGCUUCUGGCAGCCUCCGUCUUGCAGCAUGUAGAAGAGAGUAGACUGAAGUCCUCCAAGUAGCAUCGCAUAGCAUAAUCCUACCCGGCGAUCCUCCCCUCGUCGCCUUGUGGAAAAGCGAUCACCGGGUCGUAUCUGGCACUUCGAAGGGUGUGUUUUAUUAAGUGUCCGGUUCUAGUUGUCAUAAGGUCAAAGUACAACUCCAAGUCGUCCUGUUACCGAAGAUCACGGCUAUUUGAAUAGAUUAACUUCCCUGCAGGGGUGCACCACAUAACCCAACACGCUCGAUCCUAUUUGGCCGGACACACUUUCCUGAGUCAUGCCCAGCCUCGGAAGAUCAACACGCCGCAGCCCCACCUAGGCACAAUAGAGAGGUCAGCCCGCCGGUCUAAAUCCUAUGCGCGCAGGGGUCUGGGCCCAUCGCCCAUUGCACACCUGCACGUUGCGAGGGCGGCCGGAAGCAGACCUAGCAACCUCCAUUACAAAGGAAGUCACGUUACGCGGUCCAAUCCGGCGCGCGCCGCUCCGUCGCUGACGUCAAGAAGGCUUCGGCUGAUACCACGACGUCGAGUGCCCAUAACUGUUCCCGCGUAGUUGGUUAGUGCGUAUAGGCCAGUGGCCAGACUCAGAUCAAAUACCAAGAUCUCGUUAAGCGUGUUAUUAUGAAAUAACUGCGGACGCCAACCAGGGCCAGGCCCACCUGUCUCCCAGGUGGUCUCAACCUGCCCUGUCGCUCCGCCACAAAGAUCCACACAGAGGGCCGUCGGGACAAAGGUCCUUUCAGCCCCCAAUCCAUGAAUCACUCGCGGGUACUCCUCGAGCCGACCCGACUUUGGUCACCAUCUGUAGUAUGUAUAUAUGUAUAGUAUAAACCCGUGAUCACCUCCCGAGUGAUCACGGCCCAAUAGUAUAGCAAGGCAGACUGACAAGAAUGUAGGCCCAAUGAUGAUAAACUAGCAUCCUAUACUAAGCAUUUAGGAUUGCGGGUAAGGUAUCAAUGACUGUAGCAACAAUGACAGGCUAUGCAUCAGAAUAGGAUUAACGGAAAGCAGUAACAUGCUACACUACUCUAAUGCAAGCAGUAUAGAGAAGAAUAGGCGAUAUCUGGUGAUCAAGGGGGGGGCUUGCCUGGUUGCUCUGGCAAGUAGGAGGGGUCGUCAACUCCGUAGUCGAACUGGGGAGCAGCAGUGUCUGCCUCGGGGUCUAGCGAGAGAAGAGGGGGAAGAAACAAUAAAUACAAUGCAAACAAAUGCAUGACGAUGCAUGACAAGACAAGGCGUGUUGCUAGGUGUGCCCCAACGCGGUAGUAGGUGGUACCGGCGAAGGGGGAAAACAUCCGGGAAAGUAUCCCCGGUGUUUCGCGUUUUCGGUUAGAGGAACCGAAGGGGGAAAGUUGCAGGUUCACUAUGCUAGGGACGCGUGGCGGACGAACGAGCUGCAUAUCUGGAUUCGUCUCAUCGUUCUGAGCAACUUUCGUGUACAAAGUUUUUCCAUCCGAGCUACAGAUUAUUUUAUAUUAAUUUUUAAAGUUUUAAAUCAUUUUCUAGAAUUUUUAGAUAUUUCAAAAAAGAAAUUACCUAAACUGCUAUGGAUACACAGAGAGGUGUACCCAAUAGUGUGCAAGAGGCUGACAGGUGGGGUCCAGUUGACUGCCCAGACAGCAGUCAACUAAGACUGUUGACUAGUCAAAGGGACCAGGGGACCCGCAUGUCAUUGACUGGGCUAUCCCAGUCAGCAGUUUGACUGGUCAAUGGGUUGACUGGGGCCACUUGUCAGUGACUAGACUCAGAUAGACUUUAGUUAAGUUACAUUAAUUAGCAGUGGGGGCCACUAGUCAUAGGGCCAUCUAACUAAUGAAACUAAUAAUAAUAAAAAGGUUAAUCCCCAAUUAGCCGGCCCCAAUCUUGCAGUGGCCAGAGGCCACGACUGGGAGCACGCACAACCGCACGCACAGGUGCGCUGGCGGUCGGUGCCCAACACACAGGGCGGAGGGGGAGUAGGACGCGGCCCUAGCCAGCAGGCGUGGUCGACCGCGGGCGAUGUGGGCGCUGGCCCGCGCGAGGGCGGCUGGGUUGCAACCAGCAGCGGCGCGCGACGUCAGCCGCAGGCAGUAGCAGCCGCAGGCAGUGGAAGGCGGGGGCGGGCAUGGCACCCGCAGGGCGGCUACGGCGGCAGGCGCGGGGCUGGGGCGCGCGGCCACGGCCGUAAUGGGGACCGGGGUUCCGCGGAUGCGGGGCUGGGCUCGGUCAGGGGGUCGCGAGCACGAAGCGUCGGACGUUGCGACGGCAAGCAUGGGUCUGAUCGGGCGCAACACUAUAGCACAAGAUCGAGCAAACCUAGAGGCUAGUCAGCAUCUACAUGGGCACGGGAGCACUCCAGUGUGCCUAGCUGGCCCCGGGACGGCCGAUAGCCACGGCGGGGAGCACCACAGCGGCGACGCGUUUUGGCCGGAGCAAAACAAAGACGACGACGGGACUAUGGCUAUGGAUCGAAAGCGUUUAGGAAGGGGAAACGUAGCGCAGCUCACCGCGAGUCGGAAGAGGAGCUCGAGGAGGUCGGGGAUGCAGUGGAGGUGACGAAUUCGUCGAUGGAGCCGCGGUGGCUGGAGGUAGAAGACGACGUCGAUGUACAAGAUGAAGAUGGUGGAGAUGGCGAGUGUACGGGCCUUCCCCGCUCGAUUCGGUCCUCGGGAUGGAUGAAGUGGACCAUGGCGGUCCUUCUGGGCGUCUUCUCGCGGCGCGGGGAGCAUGGUGGUCACGGCCAUGGCAACGGCAACGGCGGUUUCAUGCGGGGAGAAGAGAGAGAGAGAGAGAGCGAGGGAAAGGGGGAGUGGAUGAGGAGGAGCGACAGGGCAAGUGGGAGGGGACGAGGGGAGCCCGAGGCGUCGGGGGAUCUUAUCCUCUCGCCCAUGACGCCGGCGAGGCGGUCGGGGGCAACCAUGGCCCUGUAGCGACCGCACCACGGGAACAGGAGGAGAAGGAGACCGGUGAGGGUAUGUGGGCUGGCUCGGGUGGGGGUGGGCCGAGGCCCGGAGGAGUCAGGGGAGUUUUCCUUUUAUUUUGCCUUUUUAUUUAAAUUGCAAAACUAAAAGAGUUUUGAUAGAAAAGAGACUUGUCAACUAAAGCGAGCACAUUUAUUCUAAGAGUCGCAAAAAGUUUAAGGCCGAAAGUAGUUGUCCAACUAUUUUUAGAAAUUUAAAAUGCCAAUUUUAAAUGCUGUUGGAUCACUAAAUAAUUUCCAGGGGCACUUUUGAAACCCAAAAGAGGUUGGUUCCAACAUGACAAUUAUCCAGGUAUUAUUUUCCACACUUUGAACAUUGUAAUUUUCAUGUUUGGCAAAUUGGAAUUUUUGACUUUAAUUUUUGAGUUUGAAUUUGAAUCAUGAUUUGGAUCAAGCGAGGAUUAACAACAGUAAUGUGAUGACAUGACACCAUUAGUAGGGAAUUACUAUAGCUUAAUUAUCCGGGCGUCAUAGUUCCGGUGCCAUAAAAAUCAACAACUUCAAAGGCACAAGUCCGAGGGUGGUGAACGGUCAAAGAAUCAAACAUUAUAUCUCAGGUAAUCCUAUAAAUGUUGAAACCAAUAUUAUUGAAACUGUAACCCCGAAGGAAUACAUAAGGGACACUUUCGAGAAUGUUUCAGACUCCGAAAAGGAAUAGGUAUGUGGUACGGUAAAUAAACCGACUCCAAAACAAUUCUAAUGGCAUUUUUUCUCCAUUUUGGAAUAUUUAAGAAUUUUGGAAAGCAAGAAGUAAUCCGGGAAGGACACGAGGCCUCCACGAGGGUGGAGGGCGCGCCCACCCUUACUGGGCGUGCCCCCUGUCUCGGGGGGCACCUUGUGUGCCUCCUGGACUCCAUUUUCUUGCACGUUACUUCUUUUGGCCGGUAAAAAUUCAUUAUAUAAUCUCCCAAAAGUUUGGACCACUAUAUCACGCAAAAAUCCUCUAUUUUCAUUUCGAGUUGUUUUUCUGACAGAUCUAGAGCAUCAUGACGUCACCCUCCUUCAACAAUGAAGACAAGGAUGCUUGGCUAUUGAAGAUAGAGUUGAAAAGAGAAGAACCGGAGGAGAUUAACAAGGAUGAAAGGAUCAAGAAGGCUAUGGAGGAUCAAGCCCUGGCGAUGGAAGAAGAAAACAUUCCUCAACCUCUACCUAACCUCUUUACCCCAACUGAGAUUGAAGCUUUCAAGAUGAUUGAGUUAGCUCGCAUACAAAACAAGUAUCUUACACAAGAUUUUUUUGUUGAAGGAUCAUAUCGUCGCACUCAAGGGCAGUAUCCGCAAGUUGGAGGAGCUUUUACGCUCGAAGUGCGAUUAUCCACCAUCAUCAUCACCACCUUCAUCACCUCCGAGGACAUAAUCACAUGGGUAUGGGCACUCCCCUUGGCAACUGCCAAGCUUGGGGGAGGUGCCCCGGUAUCGUAUCACCAUCACACUCCUAUCUUUACCGUUUUACUUAGUUCAAUCCUUUUAGUAAUAUCUUGAUCUAGUAGAAUAAAGUUUUGGUAUGAAUUAGUUUUGAUUUUUGCUUUGUGAUCCCUAUUUGUAAUCGAGUUCGUGAGCUAUAUAAUAAAGAUUAGUGUUGAGUCAAGGGCUUUGCUAUCUUGCUAUGAUCUUGAGAAAAUAGAAAGAAUAAAAGAAAUAAAAGAGUUCAUAUUGAUCUUAUGGAUAGUAAUGACUUCACACAUAAAGAGUAUGAGACUUAAAAGUUGUUGAGAGUUGACAAACAUAGUUUUGGUCAUCGUUGCAAUUAAUAGGAAGUAAUAAAGAAAGAGAGGUUCUCACAUAUAAAUAUACUAUCUUGGACAUCUUUUAUGUUUGUGAGCACUCAUUAAGUAUGACAUUGUAAAGAGUUGAUGUUGGACAAGGGAGACAACGUAAUGGGUUAUGUUUUCUCACAUCUCAGUUAAAGUAUAUUGUCAUGGAUCUCCCAACAUGUUGAGCUUGCCUUUCCCCCUCAUGCUAGCCAAAUUCCUUGCACCAAGUAGAGAUACUACUUGUGCUUCCAAAUAUCCUUAAACCCAGUUUUUCCAUGAGAGUCCAUCAUACCUACCUAUGGAUUGAGUAAGAUCCGUCAAGUAAGUUGUCAUAUUGCAAUCAAUAAAAAUUGUUCUCUAAAUAUGUAUGACUUAUUAGUGCGGAGAAAAUAAGAUUUAUACGAUCGUGUGACAUGGAAGUAAUAAAAGCGACAGACUGCAUAAUAAAGGUUCAUAUCACAAGUGGCAAUAUAAACUGACGUUCUCUUGCAUUAAGAUUUUGUGCAUCCAACCCUAAAAGCACAUGACAACCUCUGCUUCCCUCUAUGAAGGGCCUAUCUUUUACUUUAUGUCUUUUUACUUUAUGCAAGAGUCAAGGUGAUCCUCACCUUUCCCUUUUUCAUUUUAUCCUUUGGCAAGCACCUCGUGUUGGAAAGAUCCUGAUAUAUAUAUCCAAUUGGAUGUAAGUUAGCAUGAACUAUUAUUAUUGACAUCACCCGAAGGUGAAUACGUUGGGAGGCAACAUUAUAAGGCCCUAUCUUUCUCAGUGUCCGAUUAAAACUCCAUAACCAUAAGUAUUGCGUGAGUGUUAGCAAUUGUAGAAGACUAUAUGAUAGUUGGGUAUGUGGACUUGCUGAAAAGCUCUAUUCUUGACUCUUUCUGAUGUUAUGAUAAAUUGCAAUUGCUUCAAUGACUGAGAUUAUAGUUUGCUAGUUCUCAAUGAAGUUUCUGAACCAUACUUGACAUUGUGAACAGAUUGUUACUUGAGCAUAAGAAAUCAUAUGACAAAAUCUAUAUAUGUUGUUGUUAUAAGAAUGAUCAUGAUGCCCUCAUGUCCGUAUUUUAUUUUUAUCGACACCUCUAUCUCUAAACAUGUGGACAUAUUUUUCGAUUUCGGCUUCCGCUUGAGGAUAAGCGAGGUCUAAGCUUGGGGAAGUUGAUACGUCCAUUUUGCAUCAUGAUUUUAUAUCGCUAUUUAUUGCAUUAUGGGUUGUUAUUACAUGUAAUGUCAGAAUACUUAUGGCUAUUCUCUCUUAUUUUAUAAGGUUUAUCAUGAAGAGGGAGAAUGCCGGCAGCUGGAAUUCUGGCUGA
rnacentral:lncRNA from 1 species